GACGAACGCUGGCGGCGUGCUUAACACAUGCAAGUCGAGCGGUAAGGCCCUUUCGGGGGUACACGAGCGGCGAACGGGUGAGUAACACGUGGGUGACCUGCCCUCAGCUCUGGGAUAAGCCUGGGAAACCGGGUCUAAUACCGGAUAUGACUCCAUGACGCAUGUUGUGGGGUGGAAAGCCUUGUGCGGCUGAGGAUGGGCCCGCGGCCUAUCAGCUUGUUGGUGGGGUGANGGCCUACCAAGGCGACGACGGGUAGCCGGCCUGAGAGGGCAACCGGCCACACUGGGACUGAGACACGGCCCAGACUCCUACGGGAGGCAGCAGUGGGGAAUCUUGCGCAAUGGGCGAAAGCCUGACGCAGCGACGCCGCGUGAGGGAUGACGGCCU
rnacentral:rRNA from 1 species